rnacentral:rRNA from 1 species
UACGUAGGGUGCGAGCGUUGUCCGGAAUUAUUGGGCGUAAAGAGCUCGUAGGCGGCGCGGUAAGUCGGGUGUGAAAUCUUGGAGCUUAACUCCGAAACUGCAUUCGAUACUGCCGUGCUUGAGGACUGGAGAGGAGACUGGAAUUUACGGUGUAGCGGUGAAAUGCGUAGAUAUCGUAAGGAAGACCAGUGGCGAAGGCGGGUCUCUGGACAGUUCCUGACGCUGAAGCACGAAGGCCAGGGGAGCAAACGGG